rnacentral:rRNA from 1 species
AACGAACGCUGGCGGCAGGCCUAACACAUGCAAGUCGAGCGAAGCCUUCGGGCUUAGCGGCGGACGGGUGAGUAACGCGUGGGAACGUGCCCUUUGCUACGGAAUAGCCCCGGGAAACUGGGAGUAAUACCGUAUGUGCCCUUCGGGGGAAAGAUUUAUCGGCAAAGGAUCGGCCCGCGUUGGAUUAGGUAGUUGGUGGGGUAAUGGCCUACCAAGCCGACGAUCCAUAGCUGGUUUGAGAGGAUGAUCAGCCACACUGGGACUGAGACACGGCCCAGACUCCUACGGGAGGCAGCAGUGGGGAAUCUUAGACAAUGGGGGAAACCCUGAUCUAGCCAUGCCGCGUGAUCGAUGAAGGCCUUAGGGUUGUAAAGAUCUUUCAGUGGGGAAGAUAAUGACUGUACCCACAGAAGAAGCCCCGGCUAACUCCGUGCCAGCAGCCGCCGUAACAC